UGCCCAGCAACUCCUAUCCGUACCUCCACGCGGUACCGGCCGGAAACUAUGAGCAACCUUAGGGAAGAUCGGGUAACCAACCCCGGUGGGAACUUUGGUCGUAGGCUGUCAGGGAAGG
rfam:Aedes albopictus isolate Foshan contig105628, whole genome shotgun sequence.